CCCUUAGAUGUUCUGGGCUGCACGCGUGCUACAAUGGCGUUUCCAGCAAGUCUGCGAACCCGAGAGGGCCAGCGGAUCUUCGAAUUGGCGUCGUGAUCGGGACAGUCGAUUGCAAUUAUUUGACUCAAACGAGGAAUUCCUUGUAAUCGCGAUUCAUCAUAUCGCGCUGAAUACGUCCCUGCCCUUUGUACACACCGCCCGUCGCUCCUACCGGUUGAGCGAUCCGGUAAAUGUUUUGGAUUGGUGCCGGGGCGGCUAGCUGCCGGUCGCUACGAAAUUUUGUGAACCUUAUCGCUUAGAGGAAGGAAAAGUCGUAACA
rnacentral:rRNA from 1 species